rnacentral:rRNA from 1 species
CACCCGUUCCCAUCCCGAACACGGAAGUUAAGCUCUCCAGUGCCGAUGGUACUGCACGGGCGACUGUGUGGGAGAGUAGGGCGCUGCCGGAC